UGUAAACUUUUUAUUAAGAUGACCUCUGUGUGUCAGUUUUGAGGUUGCUAGGUUGACCUGACCUCUGUAGGUUGACCUCUGACCUCUGUAGGUUGACCUCUGACCUCUGUAGGUUGACCUCUGACCUCUGUAGGUUGACCUCUGACCUCUGUGUUUCAGUGGAUCGUGUCGGGCUCUGAGGACAGCAUGGUGUACAUCUGGAACCUGCAGACCAAAGAGAUAGUUCAGAAACUACAGGGACACACAGACGUGGUGAUCUCGACCGCCUGCCACCCGACGGAGAACAUCAUCGCUUCGGCCGCUCUG